ensembl:lncRNA
UUCCCUCAUACCUUCCGCUCGCUCUCUGUUACUCUCUCGCAUCCGUUCAGAAUGCUGCAGUAGGAUGGAGUCUUGUGUCUGAAUCUAAAAAAAAAAAAUCGAAAGACUUUGACAUGCCAAAGCUACAGAUUCAGCUUGCUGCUCACUGAGAAUAACUGGGACCCUCUCCACACUUCAGGCUUUUAACCAACAUAAUAUACUUUAAACAUAGAAUAAGCAAUAUACAAUUAGAAUUUCAUUUGGAAAAAAAUAAAGGAAAACUGUCCAGCUGUGAAAAAGUGGAAUUGACCUUGGGUUGACCUGGACAUGACAUGGAGAGUGUGUGUAUGCAGGAAGUACUGCAUAUAUAUGAGAGCAUGUGUAUGUGUGUCUUUAUGAGCCGUGUUUCUACUUACUGAUGACCAAAAUAGAGCAGGAGGCUAAUGUGCACAGAUCUAUAACAUGGUCCAUGACUGCAAUGUACCUUACAGUAGUCUAUAUUACACACACACACACUCCCACUCCUUAUUCCCUAUAAACUGCAAUGUACAAUAUGGGGCACAAUCACACACACAUUCACACACUAUGACAAUUUGGAAAUGCCAGUCAGCCUACAACACAUGUCUUUGGACUGGGGGAGGAUACCGGAGUGCCCAGAGGAAACCCCUGAAGCGCGGGGAGAAUAUAAACGCCACCCACGCAGGGCGGAGGUGCGAUUUGAACCCCCAAUCCCGGAGGUGCAUUGCAGUGCAUUGUGGGGUUUCAGCUGGACAAAUAAAAUAUCAUAUACGUAGUAGUAAGCCUCUUUAACUAGUGCACUAUAUAGUUAAGUGGGAAUUUUUUUCAGACAUGCUGAUAGAAUUGUUAUCUCCACUCACAGAAAAUCAGACAGAUAGAGAGAGAGAGAGAGAGAGAGAGAGAGAGAGAGAGAGAGACAGUCAGCAUAGAAUAAUACAAAUCAAGGGGUAGUUAUUUUCCUCUUUACUGGGGUACAGGAUGAAAUCAGUCCUCCGGAAUCGACAGCACUUUCUGCUCCAGUGUGCGUUCGCAUGGAUCUGGCUGUGUGCCGCUGCUCUGUAGGAAUUUCGUGUGUGUCUCUAAGACAGCUGUAUGCUUGUUACGUAAGAGGUGACACACACAAUCACACAGGGGCCCUGACCUAUUUAUGGGCCCCAACCCUGUAGCAAUGCUGCUCACACACGCACACGCACACACAAAUGCAUAUGUCCACCAGCUUGGUAUUGACUAUGGCUAUACAAUAAAUGAUAGCAGUAAUUGCAGUGUUCAUUAGCCUUUUUUUUGUUUUUGAAAGGGAUAUGUGAUGAUGUGUAUCACCUCUGCUUGAUUAGGAGAUUUGUAUGAGAGCGUUUGAUAAGGGUCAGAUGUGCGUUUGUGUUUUACUACACAACAAUUUGUGUAGAAUCACUGGACCGACACAUAUAUAGUACCAAUCUUAAGUUUGGACACACCUGACUGAAUGUAUGUUUUUAAGUUUAUUCACAGACAUCAGCUAAUUCGAUCUAUUAGAGAUGCUACUGUGGUAUUUUAUUUUAUUUUAUUUUAUUUACACAUCCUUUAAAGGGUUGUGGGAUAGCUUCCACAACUUGGAGACCUUUCAGAUUUUGGGGUUUCCAUUGGAAAAUGUUUUUUGAUCAUCAUCAUUUAAUUACUUCAGGCAGUUGUUAAUUGGGCUAAUUAAAAGGGAAAAGUCACUAAAAUAUUAACCAGUUUGUACACAAUUUUUCGCUGAGUUUUUUUUUUGUCAUUGUUGCGGCCAAAAACGCUUGAUUUUGCUGUGGCUUUUUGUGCUUUUUCUUUUUUUUGCAGAAAAGUUCUUGAAUUGGUGAAAUUACAAUUGCAUGAAAUUGUUUUGCACGGUCUUUGACAAUGAUGAUUAUUGGUAAAUGAGAUCUUUCAGCUGUACUCAUGUUCGACGCACGUGAAUCGAAGAGGUCUUCGGCUGAAUGCACGUUUGGAUGAUGUUACAUCCUGAGUCGUGGCCCAAAUCUGCGGAAAAUUGAAAAAUUGCAAGCUCUUCUUUAUAUUGCGGCAUUUUCUCGAUUUUGCGUUAUUUUCUGCGAUCGCAAACUCGAGAAAUCCUGGAGGGACUGAUUAAUACAAUAAUUGAUAUAAUAAAAGCUGCAGCUUUCAGACACGGUUUAAAGCCUUACUUCAUAUUCAUGUCACAAUAUAAUGAUUGUAGAUUGCAAACAAAUUCAUGGUCGAGUAGUGUAACCAAAUCAUAUAUGUGACACAAACAUCAGGGUUCACUGGAAAAUAAAACUGCUAGAAACCCACUUGUCCAAUGUUAGCUAAUGUUAAUAGUCAUAUGGAUACAAGGGUAUUUAUCACAGGGAAAAUAAUAUUGUCCAAAUAGGGCUUUUCAUCAUUUUACAGCCAUUUUAAUCCGGAGGUUUUAUGUUUCUGAGGUAAAUAUUAAUGAGAAGUUUCCUAUGUUUGAAUUUACUUGAAUGAAUCUACAAAUCUAACAAUUCUUUGAAAAUAUUUGGACUGUUUAAUCUGCCCCCAAAUGUAGGUGGUGUUUUUUUUGUUUGUUUGUUUGUUUGUUUUUUCAGUUGCAAGUGCAUAGGUACUUCAUGAGGACUAUUGGAAAAGCAUUGCAGGUAGCUCUCUCAUGAAGCUGGGUUGGCAAAAUACCACGAGUGUGUAAAUCUCUCUUUAAAGCUACUUGGAAGUCCAUAAAAUAUGAAUGAUAUUUGGCUUCAUUAACACAUUUUUGGCACUGCAUAAUUCCAAACAUCCGUACAGGAUUUCUCAGAGGGUUAUUUUUGUUGAUUGUUGCGGCCAAAAAUGUUUGAUCUUGCAGAUUUUUCAAACUACUUGAAUUGGUGAAAUCGCAAUUGCACGGAAUUGUUUCGCACGCUCUUUCGAUGUGAUGUUUGUUGGUAAAUGAGACAUUUUAGCUGUACUCGUGUUCGACGCAUGUGAAUCGAAGAGUUCGGCUUUGGCUGAACGUGCGUCGUGAUGAUGUCACGUGACGUGUCUCAGCCCGAAUCUGUGGAAAAUCUGUGGUAAUUUAGAAAAAUUUCAAACUCCUACGAACACUGCGGAGUUUGCUUCAUUUUGUGUUCAUUUCUGUGAACGCAAAAUCGCGAAAUCCUGGAGGGGACAUGGUUAUGACUAUUAUCGAUGUGUGAAAUAGUGCUAGUAAUGAAAAAAGCUUGGAGUAUGUGUGUUUAAACUUAACUGUAGUACUGUUUCUCUCUAAAUAAUAUCCUUAAGAUAGUACAGUCACGCACCAGCCUCUGAUAAGGCCUUGCACAUUUUAGUCAUCUUAAAUGCACCUGUUGGACACACAAAUACAAAACGAUAGCUCUCAUUCUGAAUUAGCACAAAAGUAGACCCAUGUGCACUGUACUCUGUCUCUCACACAAAAUCCUUUCUUUCUGUAUGAGCGAGUAAAGAGAGGAUGCCUGUGACCCAAAUGCCAGGUUUCUGACAAGCAGGACACUCGUCAACUGAUCAAUCUUCAAUGCUUCUUUUAUACAGGGAGCUCUGUGUAUCUAAAGAAAACCUAGUAACUUAUAUUAAGUACCAUAUAUUUUACUAUGAUAGAAGUACUGUAUAAUAUUUAUGGAUUAAUUGAGGGGGUUCAUUUUGAAUUUAAUUUGAAUUACUCUGAUAUGGAAGCUCAACCAUGGCAGCACUAAACAACUGUAAGGUGAGGAAAAGCUGAAUGUUCUCUCCAGGCUGCGCCAUCCGAGGGAACGGGCAAAUGAACAAGUUUGAAAUGUGUCAUCUCAGCAAAUUUGAGUGUGUUUGUGACUGCGUGUGGUGAUCACUUGUCCACACAUCCAGCACAGCAAAGUGCCAACUUUGUUCUCAUUCCCUAUAAUAAAACUCAUCAGAGUAAAGUGUCCUGUGUCUUGUGUUUCUGUUGCGUAUAAGGCAAACGUUUCUCACCAGCACUCUCCUGUGGCGUGGACGAUGAGAGAAGAUGUGUCUGUGACCCAAAUACCAGGAUUCUGACAACCAAGACAAGUCAGACUCUGCUGACACCUUUUCCUGAUUUGGACGUCUUCGGCAAAAGAAUUCUUCACCUCAAUCUCAUCUCUUUCCAAACUUAACCACCCC